GUUGCAUGGGAAGUUAUUGUAAGCUGGUCACAUGAUACAUCUCUUGUAUUUUAUUUCUCAAUCUCAUAUCUCGGCAUUCAGUCACACAGCUUUUUCACUCUCAUAUGUUACUGAGCAGAACGUGGAAAAGAAAAUCAAUGAAGAUCAUCUCCACACUGUGCCGGGCAAGUCUAAUCCAUUCUAAACAAUGGACUCACUCAUCUGCCUAGCAACUGAAAGCAGAAGUAAGGUUACAAGACAAAUAUCUACAGUAGUUACAGUCAAUGUCUGAAUAUUGAGAAGUGGCUUUUUAUAUGACUUUACUUAAUAACCAAUUAUUUUUACAUAACAACAGGGCAAGAUUUUUAUAUUAUUAUAUAAUAAUCUCCUGGACAUUUAUUAAAAAAAAAAACAGUUCCCCUUUUUUAAGAAACAAUAUUCUGUGUUCUAAUCAAAAUCUAUUUAGGCUUUAUAGAAAAAAAAAAUCAUUGUUCUACACUAAGUCGGAAUCAGUAAGUAUGUCAGCUGUGUUUUGACUCCCUCCCUAAAAUAUUAUGCAAAUAGGGGUGCCUAGUGAAACAUAAAUUAUAGUUUACAGUGCCUCAGCAAUAACACAGUCAUUGGCAAAAAUUGUCUGCUUGAUUUCUUGCCAUUACAGUUCUGAGGGGAACCACUGCAAAGUCCCUAUUGUUCUUCUUGUCAACUGGACAAUUACCCGAUGGUCCUUCCCACUCCCAUUGAUUGAGAACUCAUAAAAGUAUAGCGAUAUGACAAGUAAAAAUAAUAUAUUUUUAAAAUCUUCAAAUUAGGAAAUACAAUUACGAAGCUACAGAUUAACAGUGUAACUGUAUGUCUUUCAUUGCAAGUCAUGUUAUUUGCAAGCUCUGCCAAGCCACUUUAAAAAAAACUCAGAUUUUGUUUUUAAUUUUAAAUAUGCAACUGAUAACAGUUAUUUAGUUAUUUCUAUCUGUUAGGAAUUACAAACGCUCAUAUCUUCCAAAAAGCAUUCUGAAAUAUGAAAAUAAUGAAUGAUAUAACAUUAUGAUAAGCUGAGUAUUCUGAACAAUCUCUGUGGAACUUAAAUAUUCAAGCACUGAUAAUUAAUUAUUACAUGGGAUAAAAAGUUACUGAACAAGUGAUUUUAUUGUUACGUAAUUAUUUUUUUUUUUCUUUUAUAAGGCCCAUAAUUUAAAUAAACUAUACUAAAAGUUAUUUGUAGGUAUAGGUGACAUAGUCUGUCACCUACAUUGGUUUUACCAUAUGACUGUAGACAGUAUUCAAACAAUGUAUUAUUCUUCAGCUGGUUAUGGUGCUGUAUAAAGUGAUGUUAUGACCUAAAUUUCUGUGUUUCAAGUGGAUGUGAGUUGGGAUAGGAUUUAGUGAUACUGGAUUAUCCAAAAUAUUAAAUUGGAGCAAAAUGCAUUUUGGCACUCCCAAACUAUAGAUUUUAUAGAUUGUAUUACCCCCUAAACCCUCUCUUUUUAGGAAAACUUCAAGCACAUACUCACAUGUAUAUACAUACACACUUUCAUAUACAUAGACAUUCAAAUUCACACAUACUUACAUUGCAUUCAUAUACACACACAGGCACAUCCACAGACACACACAUUGAUGUACAUACACAUAGACUGCCAAUUCACGCUGAAAACUCAUCCCAAGACCCUUAACCCCACUCCCAAUAAUGAACAUGACAACUUUAUGAGUGUGAUCCCCCUCUCCCAAUGCUCUAACCUCAAGCUACCAUGUCCUCCGGAGCUUGUCCUCCAAUAACUGAAAAACAGAGCAAACAAAACACCAGAAAGGACAAAAAGCAAGCACAAAAGAUAGAAAAUCCAGUACAAGACAGGGAAAAAAAGGGGGAACAUGCAAAGAAAGUACAAAAAAGGGAAAACACACAGAAGACAGGGCAGUUGGAUGGGAGAUAGCUCAUGUAGCCUGCUGUCCAGGAGCAAAAAGGGAAGUAAGGGUGACCACAAAUCCAACAUUUUUUACAUUAUUCCUCCAAUCCAUAACUGCCUUAAAUGUCUGACCACCACACAGGCAUGCAAGGUAGUCAUGAACUAAACGGUUGAAAUUAAGUAGUUGUAUUAGCAGAACAACAGCAUGUAGAAGUUAGAGCUCACAAAUGAAGAUCUCAAAGACAAAAUAACUGCACAGCAUGAGAUAGAGAGGAAGUUUGGCAAAACAAGAACACAACGUGAGAGUUACCAGCAACAGUUAGUUCUCCAACACACGCACGCCAGCUAUUAUUACUAACAUAAUUUACUUUGAAUUCUCGCUUUUGUGACUGAUUUUGACAGUGUUGAAGUAAAUUUAGUUAAUUACAUCAAGAUAUUUAAUGAUAUUGUAAUAAAUCAUUGAAAAGGAUUAUAUUGGUUGAUCCUUGGUUAGUUGUCUUGAUGUAAUAAAGUGUAUUUUGAUAUUUUCAGUAAAAAUAUAAAAUUAUUACAUAUUUACUUUAAAAUGUGUGGAGAGUAUGUGAAUGCACUGUUUUUUUAUGAUUAUGAUUUAACGAUUAUGAUUACAGCAGACUACACCCAACCCCUCUCUAAACUCUAACUAUAUUUUUUUUCACUAUAUUUUUCAAGAUGUAUUGUGUUUUGAAAAUCAGGAUGAAUGAUGAAAUAGUGCUCCGGUUGCAUUUCCCUUUACAUAUUUAUCAUUUCCUGCAUAGGAGGUGUCAAGGUGCAAACCACUACUCCUUUUACUAGGGGAAGUUGCACCAGUUGUGAGUAUUCAGAAUAAUUACUGACAUACUCUUGUGGUAAGCUCUAGAUGAGGCUCAGGAGUGCUAGACAGGUAAUCAUGGCUCUUUUCCAAUUUCAAAGAAACCAUCAUAAUACCCUCUUUGUAAUGAGCAGUAUGUGGUAAUAUUGAUACACUAAAAAAACACAUCAAAAGAAAGCACAUUUUCCUAACUAACAAGGUUGGAACUCUGUUGGCAGAUAUAAACAGGGAUAGAAGAACAUAUCACUUACCUUAAAGUGGUUGGACACCUCACCUCGUGACCUUUUAAAAACACCCCUAAUGAAGUAGCAAAGGUAGAAACAAGCCAGGGACACCAGAAGCUGGAACAAUUACAUAACAUGCAAGAGGUUAGUACAGGCAGCAGACAAAGAAUGACCGAAUAACAAGUUGGAUCAGGAAGACAGAAUACCUGGAGAAGACUAGGGAAAAGUUAUAUGUGUGUUUAGCUGUCUCACUAACAGGCACCGUGUGCUGCACAGGAUGACCAGGCCUUAUGUCUAUUAAAGAUACUGUUGCGGCUCCCGGUCUGCCGCAUGGCGCAGCCGUGCCUGACCGGCACCACCUCGCCGAUAUUGCGAGCUUACCUGCUCGCCAGCGAGCUGGGAACGGCUCCUUUCCUUUUUUAUAGUUUCUGCGUGUUGGACCACAGCAGCCGUGACAUUACGACAGGGCCAUGGAUCCUGCUGAACUAUGCAAACAUAUGAUUGCCUAUGAGAGUAGGGUGGAGGAUAUGGACCACAGGUUAGAUCAAUUCCAGACCUUGCUCCAGGGAACUGCCUAUCUGGAGGCACCUCCGGUACCACCUGUGGAUCCGCCACCUGUAAUAGCACCUGUGGCACACAAACCACCGUCCAUAACCCUUUCACCUCCCCCUCGUUUUGAAGGUGAUUCUAAGGAAUUUAGAGGUUUUCUAAACCAAAUUGAAUAUCACUUCGAAGCUUCCCCUGGUUCAUUCCCUACAGAUAGAUCGAAAAUUGGCUAUCAAAUGAACCAAUUAAUGGGUAAGGCUUUAACCUGGGCUAAUCCCUUAUAGGAGAGUGGAAAUCCAGUUGCCCAUGAUUACAAUGUAUUCGUAAGAGCUUUCAAAACUACUUUUGAGCCAAAAGGGAGAGAAAAGAACUCUGCCAGAGCCCUAAUGAGAAUAAAACAAGGCAACCGCUCUGCAGCUGAUUACGCCAUAGAGUUCAGGACAUUGGCGUCUGAGGUUAACUGGACCAAUAGCGGUUUGGUGGCUGCUUUUUGCGAAGGUUUAGCGGAAAAUAUACAAGUCGAGACCGCAGCCAGAGAUCUUCCAGUUAACCUUAAUGACUUUAUUGCAUACAUGAUAGACAUUGAUAACAGACUCAGAGGCAAAAGGGGACAUCAAAGGUUUUCAUGUCCGGUUCGGCCGGAAAACUCGCACACCUAAGGCACGUUCGGGGACCGACCUUAGGUGUGAUGUAUAUGUCACCUAAAUUGACUAAGAAUCGUUUCCUUAUAAAAAUUACUUUGUCUUGUAAGAAAACCACUGUACAGUGUGAGGCUAUGAUUGACUCUGGGGCAGCGGAGAAUUUUCUAGACAAGGAAUUCUCUGCCAAACAUCUCCUGCCCUUAAGGCAGAAAGAAAGACCCAUAGCAGUAGAGGCUAUUGAUGGGAGACCUCUUACCCAGCCUCUCAUCACGCAUGAAACCCUGCCAAUCACUGUCUCAGUGGGUAUCUUACAUUCUGAAGAAAUGGUGUUCCAAAUUAUAUCUUCACCUACAUGUCCGAUAAUACUGGGUUUCCCUUGGCUCCAGAAACACAAUCCACGUUUGGGUUGAAUGAGAAAUUGUGAGUUGGGGUGAGAGAUGCAGAGGUAUUUGUUUAAAACAGGUGCAACAACUAAUUGGUACCCUCAAUAUACUUAUAGCGCCUCCCUUGACCACAGAAAUCCCACCGCAGUAUUUGGACUUAAAGGAGGUAUUCAACAAGGUACAGUCUGAGGUUGUCACAUAUUCAUCCGCUUAUAGAAAUGUGGUUAAUGACAUUUACUGUCCAUACAGGAUAAGUUGUGCCGAGCAGCAACCUAAUCCACAGAAGGGUUAAUGCUGAGCAGUAAUUGUGCAAAUGAAACCUGGUGUCACGUAUUCAUCCGCUUAUAGAAAAGUGGUUAAUGACAUUUACUGUCCACACAGGAAAAGUUGUGCCGAGCAGCAACCUAAUCCACAAAAGGGUUAAUGCUGAGCAGCAAUUAUGCAAAUGAAACCUGGUAACUGACUUUGGGGUCAAAGGCCGGUUACAGCCUAUCAGAACUAAAGGAGGGGUAUUUAGGCCCAGUUCUCAGCCUGCUCAGUGCCCUGUCGUGGUUUCCCUUGUGGUUGUCCGAGAGCGCGUUCCUGUUUAUAGUUUUCUACCUGGUUUUUGACUUUGGCUUUGUUUAUUGACUUCUCUAUAUUCUGGUAUCCUGACUCCUGGCUUUCCUCAUCGCUGUGUCCCUUUCUGUGUUCCCUGACCUCGGGUAGUAUUUUUGACUAUUCUUUGUACGUUAAAUCCGGCCAUUCUAAGGACCGGUAAUACGUUACUUAUUUGUCAUCCGUGCUGUACAGUUCUGCGUGCUGGAUCAAACAGUAAUCCUGACAGAGGUAUUACCACCACAUAGACCCUACGACUGUGCCAUAAAUUUGUUACCAGGCACUAUGCCCCCUAAAGGAGGAGUAUAUGCACUAUCUCCCCAAGAAAAUCUUUGUUUAGAAGAGUACAUAAAGGAUGCUCUCAGAAAGGUUCACAUACGUAGAUCCUCUUCACCUGCUGGGGCUGGGUUCUCCUUCGUCUCUAAAAAAGAAGGAGACCUACGCCCUUGUAUAGACUAUGGGGGUAUGAAUAGAAUAACAAUAAAAAACACCUAUCCCAUUCCUCUUAUUUCUGAAUUAUUCGAUAGGUUGAAAGGGGCCCGAUUCUUCACUAAGCUCGACCUCAGAAGUGCUUACAACCUAGUCAGAAUUAAGGAAGGGCACGAGUGGAUGACCACAUUUAAUACGAGAAUUGGACAUUACGAAUACCUAGUUAUACCGUUUGGACUGUGCAACGCCCCAGCGGUGUUUCAGGAUUUCAUUAACAAUGUCCUUAGCGAAUAUCUCCACAUGUUCGUUUUAGUGUAUCUAGAUGACAUUCUCAUCUAUUCCCCAGAUUUAGAGACACAUCACGAACAUGUGAGAACAGUACUAAAAACCCUGUUAAAGAACGGCCUCUACUGUAAGCUGGAGAAAUGCCAAUUUGACCAGACUGAGAUACAAUUUCUUGGGUAUGUUAUAUCUCCGUCUGGUUUCAAAAUAGACCCAUGCAAAUUGGAAGCAGUCUUACAAUGGCCAUUACCCAAAGGCCUUAAAGCUACACAACGCUUUAUAGGUUUUGCUAAUUAUUACCGCAAGUUCAUUAAAGGCUUUUCCUCUGUAAUCUCUCCUAUUACCAACCUAACCAAAAAAGGAGCAAAUUGCAAUUCAUGGCCCGAGGAAGCAAAGGAGGCAUUUGAGCAAUUAAAAUCUUUAUUUGCCUCAGCACCUGUCCUGACACAUCCCGAUCCAACCAAACCAUUUAUUCUAGAAGUAGAUGCGUCAGAAACAGGAGUAGGAGCCAUCCUGAUACGCCUUUACAUCCCUGUGGGUUUUUCUCUCGAAAACUAACAUCUGCAGAGAAAAAUUAUGACAUUGGGAAUAGGGAGUUAUUGGCCAUUGUACUUGCCCUUAAAGUAUAGAAGCAUCUCUUAGAAGGUUCCAAAGAGCCACUUCUGAUUUUUACUGAUCAUAAUAAUUUGGCUUAUAUUGGGGAUGCUAAGAGAUUGUCCUCUCGUCAGGCUAGAUCCUCUCCCGAUUCAAUUUGGUAAUUACGUACAGGCCCGGGACCAAGAACACCAAGGCAGAUGCGCUGUCUAGGCAGUUUGAGACAGAUGAGGUUCCUGAACAAGAGAUGUUCCCUAUCAUACCUCCAGAAUGCCUUAUUGCCACUACAAUAUCCAAAGUGUCUUCUCCACUCUUCUGUGCCAUAAUAGCAGAUCAAACUCAGGCACCCGUGGAGAGACCUCCGGAUAAACUGUACGUUUCACCACCUUUAAGGAAAAAGGUACUUGGAUUAUUCCAUAAUAAUUUGACAGCAGGUCAUCCUGGAGUCCAUAAAACGCUCUCUGUUAUCUCCAGGAAGUUCUGGUGGCCUACACUUAGGAACGACAUCAAAGUGCAGUGUGUGUGUGUGAGGGGGACAGUGUGUGAGCAGUGUGUGUGUGUGAAGGUUGCAGUGUGUGAGUGAGGGCAGCAGUGUAUGUCAGGGGUGCAGUGUGUGUGUUAGGGGGCAGUGUAUGUGUGGGUCAGUAUGUGUGUGUGACAGUUGCAGUGUAUGUGUGUAUGGGGGGGCAGUGUAUGUGUAGGGCAAUGUGCGUAUGGUGGGCAGUGUAUGUGUAGGGCAAUGUGUGUAUGGGGGCAGUGUAUGUGUGUGUGGGGGCAGUGUGUGUGUGUGGGGCAGUGUGUGUGUGGGGACAGUGUAUGUGUGUAUGGGGGCAGUGUAUGUGUGUAUGGGGACAGUGUGUGUGGGGGCAGUGCAUGUGUUUGUGUAGGGAAGUGGUGUGUGGGCAGUAUGUGUGUGGGGGCAGUGUAUGUGUAUGUGGGCAGUGUAUGUGCGUGGGCAGUGUAUGUGGUAGCAGUAAAAGGUGUGUUUGGGGAAGUGUAUGUGUAUGUGGGGUAAAUGUGUGUGUAAGCAAUGUGUGGGGGCAAUGUGUGUAUGUGGGUGGUCAAUGUGUGUGUAUAGCAGUGUAUGUGUGUGUGUUGGUGUGUGUAUGUGUGUGGGGCUGUGUGUGUAUGUGUGUGGGGCAGUGUAUGUGUUUCUGGGGGCAGUGUAUGUGUGUAUGGGCAAUGUGUGUGUAGCAAUGUUAGUGUAAAGUAAUGUGUGUAUGUGUGGGGGCAGUGUAUGUGUAUGGGGUAGUAUGUGUGCCUAAGGCAGUGUGUGUAUAGGCAGUGUAUGUGUGUCUGGGCAGUGUGUGGUAUGGGGCAGUGUAUGUGGCAGUGUAUGUGUAUGUGGGCAAAUGUGUGUGGGGGACAGGUUUUGUGUAUGUGUGUGGGCAGUGUGUAUGUGGAGGCAAAUGUGUGUGUGUGGAGGGGCAAUGUGUGUGUGGAGGGCAGUAUGUGUGUCUGGGGCAGAGUGUGUGGGCAGUGUAUGUGUCUGGGCAGUGUGUGUGGGGGGGGCAGUGUAUGUGUGUGGGGAAUGUGUAUGUGUGUGUCUGGGGCAGUGUGUAAGUGGGGGGACAGUGUAAGGCGCACUGGGCAGUGUGUAUGUAGGGCAGUGUGUGUGGGGCAGUGUAUGUGUGGCAGUGUGGGGCAGUGUCUGGGGCAGUGUGUGUGUGGGGGUGUGUGUGUGUGUUGGGGGCAGUGUAUGUGUGUCUGGGGCAGUGUGUGUGUGUGUGAGGGGGGCAAUGUGUGUAUGGGGGCAGAGUGUGUAUGGGCGGGCAGUAUGUGUGUGAGGGGGAGGGGCAAUGUGUGCAUGUAGGGUAGAAGUGUGUGUGAUAAGGCUAGGGGGGGCUUUUUUAUAAUAUACUUUUUUAUAUUUAUUUAAUUAAAAUAAAUAUAUUUAUGUCCCCCCUCCCUUCUUACCUUUACAUUUCUUAGUCCCUGGUGGUCCGGUGGGGAUUCCCUGGUGGCCCAGUGGUUAGAGUGAACUCUAGCCCGCGCUCCUGGGCUAGAGUUCACUCUCGCGAGAUUUGGAGCGUUGCCGUGGUAACCGCAGUAACGCUCCAUGCUCGCGAGAGUAGGACUCAGAGGAGCUGCAGGCUGAGCUCCCGGGUCCUCUCCCUCCCCCCGCCGGCUGCCAGCACAGUGCCUGCAGACCAGGGAGAUCUCUGAUCUCCCUCUCCGGUCCAUGAAGGCACAUUGCAGGGCUAGCGCCUGCAUGUGCUGGCAGGGGACAGGGAGACCCUCGAUUUUCUCGGGGGGGGGGGGGAAUUGCCUGUUGCCCCCCCCCCCCGGAUCCGCCACUGUUCAGCAGUCACAUAAUUAGUGAAAUGAUGUCCACCUGUGUGCAAUCUAAGUGUCACAUGAUCUGUCAUUACAUAUAUACACCCUUUUUGAAAGGCCCCAGAGGCUGCAACACCUAAGCAAGAGGCACCACUAACCAAACACUGCCAUGAAGACCAAGGAACUCUCCAAACAAGUAAGAGACAAUGUUGUUGAGAAGUACAACAAAAAUAUCCAAAUCUUUGAUGAUCCCCAGGAGCAUCAGCAAAUCUAGCAUAACCAAAUGGAAAGAACAUGGCACAACAGCAAACCUGCCAAGAGACGGCUGCACACCAAAAUUCACGGACCGGGCAAGGAGGGCAUUAAUCAGAGAGGCAGCACAGAGACCUAAGGUAACCCUGGAGGAGCUGCAGAGUUCCACAGCAGAGACGAGUAUCUGUACAUAGGACGACAAUAAGCCGUACGCUCCAUAGAUUUGGGCUUUAUGGCAGAGUUGCUAGAAGAAAGCCAUUACUUUCAGCAAAAAACAAAAUGGCACGUUUUGAGUUUGUGAAAAGGCAUGUGGGAGACUCCCAAAAUGUAUGGAGGAAGAUGUUCUGGUCUGAUGAGACUAAAAUUGAACUUUUCGGCCAUCAAAGAAAACACUAUGACUGGCGCAAACCCAAUAUAUCACAUCACCCAAAGAACAACAAUCCCCACAGUGAAACCAGACCUCAAUCCAAUAGAAAAUCUGUGGUCAGACUUAAAGAUUGCUGUUCACAAGCGCAAACCAUCCAACUUGAAGGAGCUGGAACAGUUUUGCAAGGAGGAAUGGGCAAAAAUCCCAGUGGUAAGAUGUGGCAAGCUCAUAGAGACUUAUCCAAAGCGACUUGGAGCUGUGAUUGCCACAAAAGGUGACUCUACAAAGUAUUGACUUUAGGGGGGUGAAUAGUUAUGCACAUUGACUUUUUCUGUUAUUUUGUCCUAUUUGUUGUUUGCUUCACAAUAAAUAAAAAAAGAAAAACAUCUUCAAAAGUGUGGGCAUGUUCUGUAAAUUAAAUUAUGCAAAUCCUCAAACAAUCCAUGUUAAUUCCAGGUUGUGAGGCAACAAAACACGAAAAAUGCCAAGGGGGUGAAUACUUUUGCAAGGCACUGUAGGACAGCGUUUAAUUAAAUGUGUCACAUGACUGAGUUUUAUGACAGUCAUUACAAUUUGAUUUAACCCUGUAAUUAUAAACAUUGCAGUUUUUAAAAACAAAAGAAAGGACCAGUGAACACAGACCAUUUCCUUAAUAUGACAUUUUGGUGGCAUUAGUGGUCCUGUAAAGACAAGGAAUUGGUAAUCACAUAGUAGACAUUUAGAGCCUCAUAAAGACUUAGAGACAAUAUAUAUUGGCUUUAUAAUACUUUGUACUGUUAUAACCUAAAUCCUUUAGUCCUAUCCUAUAAAUCCUUUAAUCGGAAGUAAAUGUGUUACUUCAUUUGGAAUUUGGUCAGCUACUGACAAUUAAAAAAAUGCAUUAUCUAGAGUUUUUUCCUGCUUUUACAGUAUUAAAAGUUUCAUAGUAUCAAAAUGCCCAGUGUUAAAAGACAGCUCUUCUACUUCUUGUAAAAUAGGUCGAUUGUCUUGCUGGGUUCUGCAGGCUUUUAAAUAUUUAAUGGAAAUGUGUAAUGAACAACUUAAAUGCUCCAAUGCACUUGUAAGCAUCCACUGUGAGUAUGCGGCUCGCACAGGCCUUUUGCUUAUAUGUUUGGGCUCUCUUUUUGAAAAUGUUAUAUGCAUCAAAUAUAGCACUGUUUAACCCCUUCACCGUCAAGCAAUUUCUAAUUGAAAAAUAUUACCAUAACAUGUAUUUGAAGGUAGGGAUGCACAGCAAGCAUUUAAAUAUAUCAUAACACAGCUAUGUUGUGUAUAUGUUGCUCUGCAGACACAUGCAAAUAUAAAAAAAAACAAAGAAAAUGUGUAAAUUUACACAAUUUUUAUUUUUCACUUAUUCAUUCAGCCUUUAGAAAUAAUAUUUGGAAAAUGAAACAUUUUAGACAGUAUACAGUGUAUUUUAUCUUGCAAUAUUUCACACAGGGUCUGAAAUGUUAGAAAAACAAAAAGAAAACAUUUCUUACAUUCAGUAGACAUGAGAAACAAAAAGCUAAAUGAGAAUGUUCAAAUACCUUAUUUAUAGGUAUUUGUAAGGCUUUGUAAGUUUCAACAUGGAUGCUGUCCAGGAAGUAGGAUGGUCUGGGAGGGAGGGUCUGCUGGAGAUUGGCCGGGACGUGUCAGCUGACCGGAGUUCGCCACGAAAAGCUCGUGGCGAACCGUGGCGAACCGUUCGCGAGAAGUUCGCGGACGGUUCGCGACAUCUCUACUGCUCACAUCACAAUAAUAUUGCCUUUCCUACAUAAACUUAUUUUUUAAGAGUAUCUGAAUAUUUGAAAAUCACUUAAAUUUUUUAAGAUUUCACUUUGAACCCUCCUAAUUUUCAGUUGCGUUAAAAAGGCAUGUUUAACCCCUAUACACCAAACUGCAGUGAUUCACCAAUUAAAUUGCAAUGUUCAGGCUAAAACAAGAAAAAAAAAACCUGAAGAUAAUAUUUUCUUCAACACUAUGGAACCUUUGCAAAUUUAAAAAAGCCAUUAGGCACCAAAAUCACUGCACCCGAUUGAAAAAUGAGUCCUACUCCACCAAACAUUAGGUUGAACAUGUUAAUAUUUCAACCUAGAAGGGUCUUUCUCAAACCCUUUGUUGGAGGUUUAACUAUUACUAGAUCCACCCAACAUGUUUAUGGAAUGAAAAGCCUUCAUACAUAAGCCUGGAGUUGUUGUAGAUUUAUUGUGUUGUUGCCAUGAGCAGAGGGCAGAUACGAAAGGUACGAAAGUUGUGGAUGAUGGUUAAAGGAUCACUAUAGUGUCAGGAAAACAAACCUGUUUUCCUGACACUAUGUCAUCCUUGGGGGACCCUCAUCUUCAGGGUCCCCCUCCUGUGGCGCUUCAGCAGCGUACCUUAAUCCAGCGCCGUGCUCUCUCGGCGCUGGUGACCUCUCCGCUGUGCGCGCAUUCUAACAGUCCAUAGGAAAGCAUUUCUCAAUGCUUUCCUAUGGACGUUCUGCACGCUGGAUGCUGGACGCUGGAUGCGUCGCAGAAGCGCCUCUAGCCACUAGAGGUUGGAUUAACCCUGCUAUGUAAACAUAGCAGUUUCUCUGAAACUGCUAUUUUUACAUGUGAAAGGUUAAAACCUGAGAGACCUGGCCCCCAGACCACUUCAUUGAGCUGAAGUGGUCUGGGUGACUAUACUGUCCAUUUAAAUAAUCAGAGUCCACACUUGUUAAUAUUUUAUAUAAUUUAUCAUUUAUAAUUUAACAUUUUUAAUAUUAGUCCAGUGCCUUGUAAACUACUCUCUACAUUAAUAGGUUAAAUGACCCAUAUGUUGCCUUUUCAGCAUAAUUCUGCAUUUUAACUCCAAAUACAUACCCAGUAUGCCAGUUAAGUAAUCUGAGAAAUUUUAUUUCAUGUAAAAUUGGCUUCUUUUUGUCUUGUGGUGUGCAAAAUCUGAAGAUGGAAACUCUAGAAAAUACCAGAUAAAAAAGGGAAUGUGUUUAAAGGACAUUUGUACUACGACUAUAUGAGGGGUAUUUCCCUGGAUCAUUGCCAGGCAGUUAAUAACGCUUAUACACAAAGAUCUGGCUAACGGGUAAAUCAUUACAAUUUGCCUUUCUUCUACUGGCUUUCAAUUCUAAAGUAUUUUCCACUCUGUGUUAAUGUAAACAUGCUAUUUAUAAAAGCUGUUAGGAAGACAAUAUAAAGUCUGCUUCUAUAACUCAUUGUUUGUAGAGCUGACUCAAUAACCAGCAUUGGCUUUAAAUACAUUUUUAUUAUUCGGGGAAAAUAGCAUUUCUGUUGCUGGCAGCCAUUUCAUAUAGAACAAGUCAGAUAGUCAUAUUGUAUCUAUCUAUCUAUCUAUCUAUCUAUCCAUCUAUCUAGUUCAAUUUGUAAAUCUGUUGUUUUGGUUUGCAGUUGAUGUGGAAAAAUAAUCAGGAUAUACCAAAUGGCACAAAAUGGGCUUAUUUGUUUACUGCAAUGCAAAACUAGAUAAAAUAUUUCCUAGUCAUUAGGUCAAAGCAGGCCUUUUUGCAAUGCUAAUUGUAAGUUGUCAUAAUAAUGUUAUUAUAUCUGCAUUAAACAAAUAUUAAUUGAUGGUGUUUUUUUCUGUGUGCAAUCGUGUAAAUUAAAGGAGAGGUACUAGCGUAUUUCAGUUUGAAAAAAAUGGAUUGAAAAACAAAAUUGAAAGGAAAAAGUAAGUAGGCAACUUGCGAAGUGAAUAAAAAUUUCUCACACAUCAGUAGGUAGAGUGAGUGGCUGUCCUUUAGUGUGGAAUAAAAUAGUGCUCUAUCAGCCUAUACCAAGUGCAUCUGCCAAGCCAGGCAGUGAGAACCAACUACUAUUAAAAUUUGAAAACACCACCACAUGUUAGAAUACUUCUAGAAAUUUAGAAAAAAGACUUCACAGCAAUUUUCAUCCUCCUGAUCACAGAUGCUACAUCGGUCAGGAGUGUGCCACCAGGAAAAACUUCCCUUAUUUCCUUGAAGGCAUCCAUCUAGUUCAUGAGGUGGGCAAACAAGGGGAUGAACUGUUGCAAACAGCAUAUGUUUUCUGUGACAUCCAUAAAUAGUUUUAGGACUUCCCUAUUGUUGUGGAAAUGAGAUAUUGACAUAUUUUCUAGUUAGUAAAAUGCCUAUUUACUCAUUUAACCGAAAUCAGUGCAUAAGCUAUUAACACAUAUUUAGACAAAAUGGCCACUAGAAGCUUCUAACCCCUCCCUCCCUAUAACACCGACUAACUACCUCGUGUAACAAGAUGGCGCUGGAAUCUGGGGGAGACCCUCAUGGUCUCAGUGACAUCACCCUUAGUAGGCAGAGUAUUAGGGAAACCACUUAACACCUAACCAAUUAAUAAAGUAUUAUUUCAUGUUAUUUCUGACAAUGCUUAUGAUGUAAUUUUGCUUUAAAAGGGACCUGCCGUCCCCUCUGAAUAAACAUUCCUCAAGUUAUUCAUCAACCUGAAACCUGUGUCUGGUGUGAAUUACUUCAGGGAGUGUGCACGCAUUGUUUCUUAAUUUGGACAGGGGCAGAAACACAAAAAUAAUCAAUUGAUUGAAUUGAUUUCCACUUCAAUUGGCGCCCAACGUGGGGCACCAGAUUUGCCAGCUCGGAGGUCCGGAAACCAACGGACCGGAGCGGACCUCCGGAAAGUGGGACACCCGGAGCCUGAUCACCUCCAAUAUACAGCCGUUGUCUGUAUACUCCUGUUUUGUGUCGGUCUGCCUCCGCGUCCACUUCCUGCAUCCAGAAGGCUACUAGACAGGUAAUAUCUUAUCCGGUGCCUAUUUAAAGCGAACAUGUCGAUUGUCUAUCUGCCUCCUGUGAAUUUGCAUGUGUGUGACGGCCGGUGUGAGUGUCCUCUCAUGGUUUUUAGACAGACCGCCUGGCGGGCGGGAAUUGUGAGCAGCCGGAGAGGGGCUGGGGACCACCCGAGUAAGAGGGUUGGGUUGUUGUUAGCAGCGCUGGGGGCCACCCGUGUGAUAGGGUAGGGAAACUGCAGGCAGCCGGUGAGGGGCUGGGGGCCACCCGUGUGAUAGGGUAGGGAAACUGUAGGCAGCCGGUGAAGGGCUGGGGACCACCCAGGUAGCUGGGUUGGGAUAUAACAGGAGGCCGGUGAAAGAUUGUGGAUCAUCUGUUAGAAGGUGGGAUGUUACUGUACAGGGUUACAGCCUGGAGAGAGAGGCUGGGGUUAUUGAUUUUUUAUUUCCAUUGUCUGCUUUAUUAUGUACAUGGCCAUAUUGCUCUCUGUCAUUUUGUGGAUUUUGUUCAAUUGUUGCUACAGUGUGGGUACCUUUGGUGUAUGUGUGUGUGUUGUGUGGUUUGUCCUUGAUUCUGGAGUGUACACUCAUUUCUAUGUAUGUGAUUUCUGUAAAUGUCUAGUGCUUAGUGUUGCCACAUUUAUCUUUUCCCUUCUUCUGUAUCUAUCCUGUGCCUGUUGCCCAGAGCUGUGUUAGUCACCCACGCUCGCCCGCUCCGAUCCGUGGUCACCAUCUUGGGUGCACGGACCAUUGUGACUAGACUACAUUUUGGGAAGAUGUACGGGUCCCCCGUGGCAGUCGAGCACUGUAGACUUUCCUACUUUUUCUUCCCGCUCACCCGGUCCCCUUUGCUCGGCAGACCUCGCUUGGUCAAGAUGGGACAAGAACAUGCUAGACCAGCUAAAGGAUUUUUAGCUUGUGAUAUUGUGAAGGAAAGGGCAGGGGAGGAGCAAUGUUGAAAAUCAAGAAAAUUGCUAAGGUCUAUGGUUUUCAAAUGUCACCCAGUGGUAGGUUGCAGCCUGAGUUUUGGAGGAAGUUGCUUGUGGACAAAGAAGGGUUAUUGUCAGAUAAUGGGCUAACCAAAGCUGUAGAGGCUUGGUAUCGGGUUGCUAGGGGACUUAAGCGGGAGGGUUGGACGGAGGAGGAACUAGAGUUUGAGGGACAAACGAUUUAUGUGUACCAUCGAAAUGCUUGUAACACUGAUGUUUCCCCUGAAAAUCCCCGGCCACCGCCCUAUGAUGGCGCCCAGACCGUGCUGAACAGCUCCCGCCCAACUUCUCCGGUUAACACCCAGACACCACCUCCCAGUGGCGUAGUACAUGGUUCCACCCCCUUAUGUCCUGUGAUUGGAGCUGACGGAGCCUAUUACAAUCCAGUACCGUUACAUUCUUUUCCCCACGUCCCCAUGGCCCAGCCAUUCUCCUCCCCCGACCUAGCCCCAUCCCAGCCUGUCCUCCCAGUCCCCUCCCAGUCCCCUCCCAGCUCCCGGUCCCUCCUCCGCCACCUCCCUGUCCACCACCCCGAUCAAAGUCCCCGCCUGCUUCUAUUGUCUCACCAUUAGCCCUUCCUAUCCCCGAUCCCAGUUGACCUCAACCCCCGUCACGUCUGUCACACCCCCCAACCCUACUACGACUACUGUGUCUUCCACUCCCCUUACUAAUCUCAUUACUACUACUUCCAGUUCUUCUCCCACCGCUAAUACUUCUGGUUCCUCUACUAAUCUGGUGUCCUCCCUUCUCACAGCCCUCUCUGCCGCCCUCGAGCCUUCCCGUCAUCCUGCAACUCCUCCUUUGCUCCCCGAGGCCCCUCCCGUUGUAGACCCGUCCCCUCUUCCCCCAUCUCUUCCUGCUGAACUGUCUUCCCUCCUCUCCACCCUCUCGGCUCUGACCCGCCCAGCCCUUCCUACCUCACCCAUGGACCCUCCCCCUCCUACACUCCCUAUUGAGCGAUCUAUCCUCACCUCAGCCCUCUCCGCCCUGGCCCAGCCUCUCGCCCAGUCCCGUGUCACCCUGUCCGGUCCUGCCCCUGUCCCGUGUGCCUCUGAUCCGAGUCCCAGCUUUCCCCUCAUGGUGGUUGGCUCUGAAGAACCAGCUACAUCGGCCCAGCCCUACGCUGUGGGUGUUUCUCCAGCGGCAUCAGGUUACCACCCCACAACGUCACAAUUGGGCAGUCCACAUAACGCGGCUCUCGCUCCCCAGACUCCCAUCACCCCGGCGGUACCAGGCCCGGUUUCCCUGGGUGCUGCCUCCUACCUGGAGGAUCAUGACGCUCCGGGGGAUGAUGACGUUGAUGAACGUGGCCUGCCUCUCCACCAGGGUAAUAGACCCUUACAGAGAGCACCUGCAACGCGAGUACAUCUCCAUGUACCCCCCGCUGCUGCAGGAGCCCCUCCUAUGUAUGUUACGUUCAACCCUUCACAAGCUGCCACUCUUGUCACCUCUCUCCCUGAUCCUGAGAAACAACCCAUGCCCUUCUACCGUAGGAUGGCUCAGAUCCAUAAAACCUACUCCGCUGCCUGGCGGGAUCUCUAUAGUUUAUGUGAGAUCAAAGCAGGUGAUGCCUACUGGCCCAUUAUGGCACGCAGCUUAACGGAUGCUCCACUCACCACUGACACAGAUUUCCAGUCUGGUAUUACAUUCUGUGAACAACUCCGUGCUUGGGCAGAAGAUAAACUGGCAGACCAGGCUACCUGUAUUAAUGACAUUGUUCAAGACAAACUUGAAUCUGUUGAAAAGUAUCAUUCACGUCUAACUCAAACUUUCUCUGAUCUAGGGUUUAGCACUUACAAUAAAGCUCAUACUCAGAUGUUGUCUGCUGCCUUUGUAGCUGGGUUAAAGGAACAUAUCCGUAAGGGUUUAAUUCUCUCCCGACCUGAGUACCGAAUAAUCCCUUUAGACACGCUUUUACUGGUGGCCAAGGGGUUAGAGUCAGUGAUACAGCCCCUUCAGAGGAGGGCAAACCCAAUGAUGCUUAAUGCCCCUGCUGUUGUCACAGGGCCUCCCCAUACUACUGCAUCUUGCAUCUCCCAUGGGGGAAUCAAGGGUCCCUCAUGCCCCCAGUGCUCUGGACAAAAUCCCUGCAAAGCUCUGGUCCACAGGUCCUGAUGAUAUUGGACGCCUUAAAGUUCCCCCAGUUGUGGUCACACUUCUGCCAGGAGUAGCGCCUCCCCGAAGACCCCAGUAUCCACUGAAACCUGGUCAGGCCCUCGCCAUUUCUAAGCAAGUGGAAAGCCUCCUGGCCAAGGGAGCCCUUGUCAAGUUUGUAUCGCCAUGCAACACCCCUUUUUCCUGAAGAAGAAGACUGAGAAGGGGCAUUCUGAUCAAUACCGCAUGGUCCAGGAUCUACGUGCAGUUAACAAUGUCACUGUCAAGGAUACAGCUGUGGUCUCUAAUCCACAUACACUACUGUCACAGGUUCUGCCCUCUGCCACAAUCUUUACUGUUGUGGACCUUGCUAAUGCAUUUUUCAGUGUGCCCCUGGAUUCAUCCUGCCAAUACCUCUUUGCUUUUACCCAUGAAGGUCAACAAUAUACAUGGACAGUCAUGCCUCAGGGGGCUCAGAAUUCGCCCACUCUGUUUGCCCGCGCCAUGUCAAUGGUUCUGGAACCCUGGCAAAAGACACACACUGAUGUAGUCCUGCUUCAAUAUGUUGAUGACCUACUUCUCUGUGCUGCUGAUUUCCAGACUGCUUAAAGAGUUUUUGAGGAUCUCCUUUGCUUCCUAGCUGAAGAAGGCUGCUAGGCCUCUAAAUCAAAGCUUCAAUGGUGCCGGCCCUCAAUGGUCUUCUUGGGACAUUGUCUUUCCCAUGGCACCCGUCACCUUACCAAGGACAGGAUCUUAGCCAUUUUGAAUUUACCAAUUCCUUCUGCUCAUCAAUCUCUCCAUGCCUUUUUAGGCCUCAUCCCGUAUUGCAGAUCCUGGAUUCCUGAAGCUUCUCAAAUGAUGCAACCACUAUAUGAUGCUCUGAAAAGCGAGCCUUUCUCACUCUCACCACAUGCCAUUGCCUGUUUUACUGCUCUAUAGAAAGCCAUUGCAUCUGCACCUGCCUUGGGCCUACCGAACUACCAGCUGCCUUUCAAGUUGUUCGUGUCUGAGAAACUGGGCCACGCCUCCGGAGUUCUUACUCAACAACAUGGCUCCAGACAAAGACCCAUUGGCUACUUCUCUUGCAUGCUUGAUCCUGUUGCCAGAGGCAGUCCCUUCUGCCUGAGGGCAGUGUUUGCUGCUAGUACCCUCUUGGACAAAACUAAUGACUUCGUCCUUGGACAUUCUCUGACUGUCUUGGCUCCACAUGAUAUUUCUGCUAUUCUCCAACAGACCCAGCCAAGGCAUUUCUCUUCUCAGCGUCAUCUGCGGUUGCAAACUUCUUUGUUACUGCCUGACAACAUUAUUUUACAACGCUGCUACUCACUGAACCCGGCCACUCUUCUGCCACUUCCCAAGGGGGGAGUGGCACAGUACUGGUAAAGCCUGGACAUCAACCCAGAUGCCCGGGUGGAAUUCCAAUUACCUACUCUAGCACCUCCUCAUGAUGUGCAACCAGAGAACUUGUUACACUGUACCCUGUGGUUCAAAGACAACCCAGGCCCUGAUGUGGAUUAUGAAGAAGAACUAUUUCAACUUGUGGAAAUUCACAUCACACUGACAGACUUGCUAUGGGACUCCAGAGGCAACAUGGUCCUGCUAGUGCACCUUCCAACAGACGUAUCCCACCUUUACCCUCAUUGGGAGACAGCUGUCCCACACAUAUCCUUCACCAAGUCCCCUGACUUCUCAUGGAAAGAUCUAGGCCCAAUGGCCAAAUCCUGGAGUGCACUAAGAAGAUCAUCAACUGCAGUACAGUUGGAUAUCCUUGAUACCAUACAGAGAUCUGUGAAGAUCUCCCUCCCAUGGAACAAGAUUCAGAUGCCCCCCAUGAUUGCUUUGAACAGAUGAAGAUGGAAACCACCCAUUUACCAACUGUACAUGAGACUGCUCUACCUAAUCCAGACCAGAUACUGUUUGUAGAUGGUUCCAGAUUUGCUGAUGAACAAGGGCAAUAUCACACUGAAUAUGCAGUUACCACAGAAUGUCAAGUACUACAAGCAGCCGCACUUCCACCAACCAAAUCAGCUCAGGAAGCCGAGCUAACAGCCCUCACAGUGGCCUGUAAACUAUCUGAGAGCCUACGUGUCAACAUUUAUACAGACUCAAGAUAUGCCCUGGGAGUAGCACAUGAUUUUGGCCUAAUUUGGAAAACUAGAGGAUUUCUCACAGCCACCGGUACUCCAGUAAAACAUGGCAUAGCCAUUGAAGAACUAAUGGAUGCCCUAAUACUCCCAGCAGAAGUGGCAGUGCUCAAAGUGAAAGCCCACGGGAGGCUGAAUUCGGAAGAAGCACGAGACAACCACUUGGCUGAUCAAGCCGCCAAGGAUGCAGCACAACAAGGGUGGAAAGUGGAAAGAAGAGUGGCCACUGAAACAACACCCAUUUAUACUAUGCAAACAUUACCUACAGAUCUCAGACUCCUGAAGGAACAACAAGCUGCUGCGACCCCCCAAGAAAAAGAGAGUUGGAAGAGCAGGGGAGCCAUUCUCCGAGAUGAGGUUUACACCAUUAAUCUUAAGUUUUGUCUACCCAAGAAUAUGUAUCCAGCUGUUGUCCAAUGGGCUCAUGGACCAGCCCACCUGUCUAAACACCUGAUGAACUCCCUGAUUGAUAAAUACUUUGAAGCACCGGUGUAAUGGACCGUUUCUCUCACAAGAGGAUAAAAACCGUUUAGGCGAUAAUCCCCUUUCCCAUAGACCAGCAGCUACUGCAAGCACCAAACUCCCGAACUGCAAACUGUACGAAUUCACCAACUCCCGAACUGGAAACACACGAACACUGGAAUCAGCCGAACAGGAAAAGCAUACAAUCCGCUUACACUCCUGGCAGUCAGCAUACAAUCCAAUUCCCCCCAAAAACGAGACGACACAUCGGUUUGAGGGUCAAGCAGAAUCUCCCUGUACUGUCACAUACAGUCUCUUUUAUUCCCAAUCCACAAACAUAGUACAGCCCACAGGGCGUUACAAAACAACCAAUCAAUCCGUACAAUACACCCAGACACUCCACACAAAAUCCUCCCCUCUGCAGGUGAUAUGAUUACUGAACACAAUGGGUAAUCUCAUUAUCACCGGCAGAGGAAUACAGUUUUUACACAAUAUUUAUAACUUCUAAAAUAUACAUGCCACAAACAUAAAACAUACAUUUUCAUAAUCAAUCCAUUCAGGGGAACAACAUAUUAAAAAAUGGCACGAAUCAGACCAGGGGUUCAAAAGUUGAGGGAAAGUCCUUUGUGACUAAAUGAAGCAUGGCUUUCUGGCCCAAACCAGUUUCAGAGUCUUCUAUCCUGGAGAGUAAUUCAAUUAUCUCCCAGGACAGACACAAGACUACAUUAAGCACAUGGUUGCAAAAAGACACAAAACACUUUAAAAUACAUAAAGUCACCUUUACACAUAACACACAGACAUUUCACAUAUCCCCAGAUAGCUGGGAUCUGAGUGCAUAUUAUUAGAUGAAUGGCACUCAGAUCACACAAAUAAGCCUUUCUGCAGGGGAAAUAAACGGUUUAACCUGCAGGGCCAUAGUCCAAAGGGAGCAGGCGAGCAACCAGGCUUCUCCAGUUCACAGUGGCGAGGUUGGUUUCGCCACAACCGGGUAUUACUACUCUAACACAGAACUAUUGUAGAUCUUGUGCAAUUUGUGCUAAAUGAUUUUUUAAAACUGCACCCAACCACUUGGCCAAACCACAAUAUCCUUUCCAGAGGAUACAGAUUGACCAUAUUCAGAUGCCAAAGAGUGGACGCUAUGAAUACGCAUUAGUCAUUGUGGACAUGUUCUCAGGAGGGCCAGAAGCCUUCCCAGUGGCCAAUCUCACCACAAGAACUACAGCUAAACAUCUUCUGAUGGAAAUUGUUUGCCGGUAUGGUGUUCCAGAGGUGAUUGAAAGUGACCAAGGAACUUCCUUUACCGCCUCAUUGACAUGGGAAGUCUGGGCAGCACUGGGGGUGACCCUUACCUUCCACACACCAUAUCACCCACAGAGUAGUGGUAAGGUAGAACGCAUGAAUGGCACAUUGAAGGCCAGAAUUCUUAAGAUGUCCCAAGAAACUAACAUGCCCUGGCCUGAGAGUCUUCCAUUAGCAUUAUUUAGUGUGAGGUACACUCCUAGGGUAAAAUACAACUUAUCUCCCUAUGAGAUCCUGUUCGGUACAGCACCAAGGUUAGGUUGUUACUUCCCCCAACAGCUUCAGAUUCAGUCAGACGCUAUGGUAGAUUAUGUGACUGCUCUCUCUCAUGCCUUGACCAAAAUCCAUGCCCAAGUGUUUUCUUUUAUUCCAGAUCCUGAGUCGAAUACAGGUACACACAAGUUGCUCCCUGGUGACUGGGUUAUGGUCAAGAAAUUCCUCAGGAAACACACCCUUGAGCCAAGGUUUGAUGGUCC